rnacentral:tRNA from 1 species
GAAGAUAUAGCUCAGUGGUAGAGGGCAUGCCUAGCAUGCCUGAGGCCCUGGAUUCAAUCCCCAGUACUGCCA